AAGAAAAGAAAGGACAAAAAGAAGAAAAGGAGAAGAAAAUUUCAUUUUCUCUUUUCUUCUUCUUCUUCUCUUCCCUUCACCGCCAAGAGUUUGAAGACAUCCAAGUUCCCUUUAUUUUUUUUUCUUUUUCCUUCUUCAAUUUGCAGAGAACUUCUAAGAGAGAGUUUGGAAGAAGAAGAGAAAUUUUACUAGAAUUUUUUAGGUUGAAGAAGAGGAGGAGAACUCAAGCAAAGUGUAUCAAUGGCUGAAUUUUAGUUCAUUCUGCACAUCACUGGUUUUUAAUUCGGUUUGAACUCUUCAAAAGGAAUUAAGAGAAAACAGGGCAGUUGGUUUUCACUCGAAAUCAGGAGGUCUCUGGUGUUUCUUGUAUUUCAGAGUGUAUCGGUGGAGUUAGAAUCUUUAUUUGGAACAAGUUAAAGAGGUCGUGUGCGCGCGAUUCUGGAAGUGGUUCUGUUUUGAGGGUUAUAUGUGUUUAUGCACGGGGAAUCAGAUUUAUAUGUCUUCAGGCCGAGAAGAAUUAAACCGAGCUUAUAGACCAAGGAUCUAGCCCAAGACUGUGAGUGACAAAACCAACUUUGAAAUAUUUUCCAUAACUGUUAUUAUGAUUGAAUGCGAUAAAUGUUUAUUUACGAAGCCAUGAAAGGUAUUUGAAUUUCAUGACUAAUUUCAAGUAUACAUUUGGAGACUAGAUUUCUUAAAGAAAUUUAUGCUAGCACGUAGAUAUUAAAUGUUUGGAAAGUAUUUAAACCACAAUAUUUUAAGCAAAGCAUGAAUUAGUAUGAAGUUUUGUUUUAAGAACUACAAUUUUCCACGAAAGAGCUGAGUAAAGUUCGAGCUUUGUGUAAAAUUUAUAAGCAGGCAUGUUUUAAUAUUUUAUGAUGAUUUAUGAAAUUUUCAUUAACUACAUGACUGAGAUCUUGAGCCUGAGGCUAGAGAUUACCGUGUGCACACUGGUUCGAUUUCUUUGUUGACGUUGAGUGUACUCCGUAACAACGAUGCUGUCGUGAGUGCUGGGCGGGCCCCACUACGACAAAGACGAUGGGAGUGCUGGGCGGGCCCCACUACAUCGUAGUGCUUGUAAACGUUGUUGUACUAGGUGUACCCUACACAACGUAGAUUCGUCAUGUUAGUUAAAAUGCUUCGAUAUACUUGAUAUGCCUUGCUAGAUUUCAAUGAUGAACAUGCUGAGUAUUUAAGGAAGCUAUUCUUACUAUUACACAUUUACAUUUACGACUUGUAUAAACAGAUUUAUAUGUGUAAAGUUUUCACGUGCUCUUAUCUUUAAAUUCAUAGUUUUAAACUGAGUCACUCACUGAGCUUCAUAGCUCACCCUUUCCAAAAUGUUUUACCCAUUUUCCAGGUAGAGAUCGACUUCCCGGUGCCUGAUAGACUGCCUUAGUCUGCGGAAGCUUCAUUAUCGAUUGCCAGUACGUGUUUUGAGUUGGGCAUAAAGUCUGUUGUGUUGUGAUGUAUUCACACCCUUGUAUGUUAUAGAUACUCCACAGUUUGUAUAAGCUUUAGGAGCUGUAGUUGUGUAAAUUUUGUUGGUUAUAUUUUGAUUAAGGUAUCUUUAGGUUUA